rnacentral:rRNA from 1 species
GACGAACGCUGGCGGCGUGCCUGACACAUGCAAGUCGGACGGUUCUUGUACCUUCAAGCUUGCUUGUUGGUGCAAGGAUAGUGGCGGACGGGUGAGUAACGCGUGAACAUCUACCCAUUGGAGGGGGACAACCCGUCGAAAGGCGGGCUAAUACCGCGUAAGCCGCGAGGUGAGAGGCUGCCUAUUGGUGGCCGCCGAUGGAUGGGUUCGCGUCCUAUCAGCUGGUUGGUGGGGUAACGGCCUACCAAGGCGAAGACGGGUAGCCGGUCUGAGAGGAUGAUCAGCCACACUGGAACUGAGACACGGUCCAGACUCCUACGGGAGGCAGCAGUGAGGAAUAUUGCGCAAUGGGGGCAACCCUGACGCAGCAACGCCGCGUGAGUGAGGAAGGUUUUCGGACUGUAAAGCUCUGUCGAGCGGGAAGAAAUGUACCAUGGCUAAUAUCCAUGAUAUUUGACGGUACCGCUAGAGGAAGCACCGGCUAACUCCGUGCC